UACAGAGGUCUCAAGUGUUGUUCGGAUUCAUUGGGCGUAAAGGGUGCGUAGGCUGUGCGGAAAGUUAGGUGUGAAAUCCCCCGGCUCAACCGGGGAAUAGCGCUUAAAACUACCGUGCUGGAGGAAGACAGAGGUGAGCGGAACUUCGGGUGGAGCGGUGAAAUGCGUUGAUAUCCGAAGGAACACCGGUGGCGAAAGCGGCUCACUGGGUCUUUUCUGACGCUGAUGCACGAAAGCUAGGGGAGCAAACGGG
rnacentral:rRNA from 1 species